UUACGGCCAUAUAACGUCGAAAUAUCGGUUCUCGUACGAUCAUCGAAGUUAAACAACGUCGAGCCUGGUCAGUAUCUGGGUGGGUGACAACUUGGGAAUACCAGGUGCUGUAA